rnacentral:rRNA from 1 species
AUUGAACGCUGGCGGCAUGCCUUACACAUGCAAAGGUCGAAGCGCGAAAGGGGGGCAACCCCGAGUAGAGCGGCGGACGGGUGAGUAACACAUCGGAACGUGCCCAGUAGUGGGGGACAACCGUCGAGAAAUCGAGGCUAAUACCGCAUACGACCCACGGGUGAAAGCGGGGGACCCAAAGGCAACUGAGGGCCUCGCGCUAUUGGA